rnacentral:misc_RNA from 1 species
UGGCCAUCGUGAGGGGAGUAAG